rnacentral:rRNA from 1 species
CGACGAUGCGUAGGGGUUCUGAGAGGAAGGUCCCCCACACUGGUACUGAGACACGGACCAGACUCCUACGGGAGGCAGCAGUGAGGAAUAUUGGUCAAUGGCCGCAGGGCUGAACCAGCCAAGUCGCGUGAGGGAUGACGGUCCUAUGGAUUGUAAACCUCUUUUGUCAGGGAGCAAAGGGCGCCACGUGUGGCGCUUUGCGAGUACCUGAAGAAAAAGCAUCGGCUAACUCCGUGCCAGCAGCCGCGGUAAUACGGAGGAUGCGAGCGUUAUCCGGAUUUAUUGGGUUUAAAGGGUGCGCAGGCGGAAUGUCAAGUCAGCGGUAAAAUUUCGGGGCUCAACCCCGUCGUGCCGUUGAAACUGGCGUUCUUGAGUGAGCGAGAAGUAUGCGGAAUGCGUGGUGUAGCGGUGAAAUGCAUAGAUAUCACGCAGAACUCCGAUUGCGAAGGCAGCAUACCGGCGCUCAACUGACGCUCAUGCACGAAAGCGUGGGUAUCGAACAGGAUUAGAUACCCUGGUAGUCCACGCAGUAAACGAUGAAUACUAACUGUCCGGGCAGAAUGAUGCCUGG